CUGUCUGAAUAUGGGGGGACCAUCCUCCAAGGCUAAAUACUCCUGACUGACCGAUAGUGAACCAGUACCGUGAGGGAAAGGCGAAAAGAACCCCGGCGAGGGGAGUGAAAAAGAACCUGAAACCGUGUACGUACAAGCAGUGGGAGCACAGGUUUACCUGUGUGACUGCGUACCUUUUGUAUAAUGGGUCAGCGACUUAUAUUCUGUAGCAAGGUUAACCGAAUAGGGGAGCCGKAGGGAAACCGAGUCUUAAUUGGGCGUUAAGUUGCAGGGUAUAGACCCGAAACCCGGUGAUCUAGCCAUGGGCAGGUUGAAGGUUGGGUAACACUAACUGGAGGACCGAACCGACUAAUGUUGAAAAAUUAGCGGAUGACCUGUGGCUGGGGGUGAAAGGCCAAUCAAAC
rnacentral:rRNA from 1 species